rnacentral:lncRNA from 1 species
AUUGGGUCGGAUACGGGUUUUAGAUGUCUGACCCGUUUAAACCGUUUAACCCGUUUAACUAUUGGGCAGGUUAAACAGGUCUAAACAGGUUAAAUGGGUUAAAUAGGUUAAAUGGGUUAAACAGGUCUAAACAGGUUAAACGGAUCUAAACAGGCAUAAACAAGUCGGGUUGGGCAGAUUAAACAGGUUGGGUUGGGCAGGUUAAACAGGUCUAAACAGGUUAAACGGGUCAGGUUGGACAAACAGGUUAAACAGGUCGGGUCGGGUUGGGUAAACAGGUUACCUGUUUAUUAAACAGGUUAAACGGAUCGGGUCGGGUUACCUGUUUAAUAAACAGAUCAGGUUCAGGUUGUAAUUUCUAACCUGUUUAAUAAACAGGUCGGGUUCAGGUUCAUAAUUUUCUGACCCGACCUGCAUGUGACCCGACCCGACCCGAUUGCCACCCCUUCCCUUCUUUCUCGACCAGAAGAAAGGCAGAAAGAAAGGGCUUUGCUUCUGAUUUCAUAAGCAACGAAUUGGCAACACAACAGAUACUUAUUCUAUCAGAUUUUAAUUUCGAUGUUUCUCUUCCCAAUAUCUUCUCCAAAACUUGGCACAGUGCUUGAAAGCAAACAAAAAUCCCAAUGCAGCAACAAUGAACUCAUGUCUACUGUGAUUACUUAAGGGGUCAUCUUAUGUGAAGUGCUGCUCCUAAUUCG